UCCCUCAUGCUGUGACAUGGUUUUCUCAAAGACUGGCAUAAUUUUUCUUCCAGUAUGCAAAAUUGAGAAGCUUUGUCAAGGAAGUUACUGGGAGAAGUGAAUGAGAGAGACCUAAAGGAAACUCGGGCUGAGCUUCAAGUCCUCACAGAGUGCUGGCAUCUGUCAACACCAAGGACAGGAGAGGAGACAAGACCAUGUGGCAGUUCUGUGCUCUGCUCUUCCUCUUCCUCACAGGUGGCUCCACUGCUCAGGAUCCAGUCACAGGUCCAGCAAAGGUGAGAGGUCAGGAGCAGGGCUCCUUGACAGUGCAGUGCAGAUAUAACUCAGGCUGGAAGGAUUACCAGAAGUACUGGUGCCAAGGAGCUUAUUGGAAAUCAUGUGAGAUUCUCGUUGAAACCGAUGCAUCAGAGAAGAUGGUGAAGAAGAACCGUGUGUCCAUCAGGGAUGACCAGACACGCUUCAUCUUCACGGUGACCAUGGAGGAUCUGAGGAUGAGUGAUGCUGACAUUUACUGGUGUGGAAUUACAAAAUUUGGAAAUGAUCACAUGUUUGAAGUGAAUGUGAACAUUGACCCAGCCUCAGAAUCUUCAACUACAGUAAUGAUGUCCACAGCCAUGGUUCUGACAUCCACACCACCAACCAUGGAGUACACCAGCAUGGAGAGCACGGGCAAGGACCACGGAACUGAGAGCGUGGCCUCAGAAUUUUCAACUACAGUAAUGAUGUCCACAGCCACGGUUCUGACAUCCACACCACCAACCAUGGAGUACUCCAGCAUGGGGAGCACGGGCCAGGACCACAGAACUCAGAGUGUGGGCGGCUCCACUGCUCAGGAUCCAGUCACAGGUCCAGCAGAGGUGAGAGGUCAGGAGCAGGGCUCCUUGACAGUGCAGUGCAGAUAUAACUCAGGCUGGAAGGAUUACCAGAAGUACUGGUGCCAAGGAGCUUAUUGGAAAUCAUGUGAGAUUCUCGUUGAAACCGAUGCAUCAGAGCAGAUGGUGAAGAAGAACCGUGUGUCCAUCAGGGACGACCAGACACACUUCAUCUUCACGGUGACCAUGGAGGAUCUGAGGAUGAGCGAGGCUGGCAUUUACUGGUGUGGAAUUAUGAGAACUGGAAAUGAUCACAUGUUUGAAGUGAAUGUGAACAUUGACCCAGCCUCAGAAUCUUCAACUACAGUAAUGAUGUCCACAGCCACGGUUCUGACAUCCUCACUACCAACCAUGGAGUACUCCAGCAUGGAGAGCACGGGCAAGGACCACGGAACUCAGAGCGUGGGUGGCUCUACUGCUCAGGAUCCAGUCAUAGGUCCAGCAGAAGUGAGAGGUCAGGAGCAGGGCUCCUUGACAGUGCAGUGCAGAUAUAACUCAGGCUGGAAGGAUUACCAGAAGUACUGGUGCCAAGGAGCUUAUUGGAAAUCAUGUGAGAUUCUCGUUGAAACCGAUGCAUCAGAGCAGAUGGUGAAGAAGAACCGUGUGUCCAUCAGGGACGACCAGACACACUUCAUCUUCACGGUGACCAUGGAGGAUCUGAGGAUGAGCGAUGCUGGCAUUUACUGGUGUGGAAUUACGAGAACUGGAAAUGAUCACAUGUUUGAAGUGAAUGUGAACAUUGACCCAGCCUCAGAAUCUUCAACUACAGUAAUGAUGUCCACAGCCACGGUUCUGACAUCCACACCACCAACCAUGGAGUACUCCAGCAUGGAGAGCACGGGUGGCUCCACUGCUCAGGAUCCAAUCACAGGUCCAGCAGAGGUGAGAGGUCAGGAGCAGGGCUCCUUGACAGUGAAGUGCAGAUAUAACUCAGGCUGGAAGGAUUACCAGAAGUACUGGUGCCAAGGAGCUUAUUGGAAAUCAUGUGAGAUUCUCGUUGAAACCGAUGCAUCAGAGCAGAUGGUGAAGAAGAACCGUGUGUCCAUCAGGGACGACCAGACACACUUCAUCUUCACGGUGACCAUGGAGGAUCUGAGGAUGAGCGAUGCUGGCAUUUACUGGUGUGGAAUUACGAGAACUGGAAAUGAUCACAUGUUUGAAGUGAAUGUGAAUAUUGACCCAGCAGCCUUAGAAACUUCAACUACAGUAAUGACGACUACAGUCACGGUUCCGACAUCCACAUCACCAACCACGAAGUACACCGGCAUGGGGAACACUGGCAGGGAACACGUGACUCAGAGCAGCCCCCUUAUCUGGUUUCUGCUGAGCAGCAUCUCCUUCCAGCUGCUGUUUUUUGUGAUGUUUCCCCUGCUCCUGACCAUGUUCAUUGCUGUCCUGUGGGUCAACAGGCCUCAGAGACACUAUGGGGGAGAUGAAAUUGGCCUGGUGAAGAUCCAUAGCUCUGAUGCCCAGGACAGAGAGAAACACUUCCCAGGAGAUGGAAAAUAAUCUGUCUCUGUCUCUUUCUUCCUCCCCUCUCUCUCUCUCUCUCUCUCUCUCUCUCUCUCGCUCUCUCUCUCUCUCUGUGUGUGUGUGUGUGUGUGUGUGUAUGUGUGUGAGUAUAUGUUGUUAUGAGGCAGAUGUGUGUGUGUAGGACAUCUUCAGGUGUUGUUCCAUCAUUGUUUGAGACAGGGUUUCUCACUGUCCUAGAUCUUUGCAAGAAGACCAGGGAGCUGGCCAGGGAAAUCCAGGGAUCUACCUGCCUCCAUUCCCCAUUCUGCCAUUACAAGCACACACAGCUGCACUCACUUAAAAAGAAUCAAACAAACUCCGUAGGUUGUAGGGAUUGAACUCAUGUCCUUUUACCCACAAGGAAGGCAAGUGCUUUACCAGCCGAGUCAUCCCCGAGUCUGGAAAUAACUUGUUUUAUUAAAGAAUGACUGGUCAGUAGUUCCAUGGCUCUGAGGUGCUGUGGCCCAGACUCAGACUAAUCCUUCUCCUAUAGCAGGGACAGCUGAAUUCUGGAAUUCAUUCAUGUCCCUCUCUCUCAGAACGUCCCACAUUGCCUACCUGAACCUAUCUUCUACUGAUGGCUUCCAGGGAAGCAGAAAAUACAAGAAAAGGUCAUGUUUCUUCCUUCCCCAGUUCCUUAGAGGACACAGGCCAAUACAAGUGUGUGGGCCAACAGCCAGGUGACUGACCAAAUAUUUGGGAAAUGUGGCCUCACCAAGUGGCAUAAAAUUUGCCACUGUCACACUGGAUGUCUGUGCCUUACACAUGGGACACACCCUGCUUUCUGUUUUUUUUCAACACUACCCAGUAGCUAAGCCCAUCGCAAACAUAAAUGGAGCAGUUGACCUGGUCUCUGUGCCACCUGCAUAGGUCCCCAAGUAGUAGGAUAGUCUUGGAUCCUGAAGUCUAGAUUCUCUGCCCAGUGCGACCAAACAGGAACCUAAGCUGCAGGAAGGCAGAUGGCCUCUCAGGAGUCGUGAACCCACAUCAUCCCACGACCAUUCCAGGGAUGGUCUCUGCAAGGGGAUUCAACUCUCUCCAUUUCAUUCAGAAGCAUCUAUUGAAUGUCUAGGUAUUAGACACCCUCCACAUAUAAGCUCCAAAAUAAGAAAGACCUAAUUAAAGUCACAGAGGAAGCCAAGGGGUUCAAGGGUAAAUGCUCAGGGGGAAAACAGUUGUUCCCAACCCUUCAGCCUCAGCCAUGCUGAGUUAUGUACCAGGAUGCAGCCUUCUCCUCGAGUGAGGCCCUGAUACCCACAGUCAAACUCACGCCUAACACAGAUGUACUCCCACUUAGUGUAAGAAGAGUCCCCAGGUUAGCAUCUUUUCCUUGAUGACAUGUGUUGGGCUCUAGUGAGCUUGCCUCUGUAGAGAGGACAGUUUCCAUUUGCUUCCGGGGUAUAUCUGGCAGUCAGUUGCCCACAUUACCACCAUCUCUCAGAUAAGAUGACCCAGUUAAACUCAGUAGGACACACACACACACACACACACACACACUCACGUCAUGUAAUCAGGAGAGGGGAUCAUUAGAGCCUGUAGGCCAGACAGUGAUGGAGCAUGCCUUUAAUCCCAAUACUCAGGAGGCAGCAGAGGCAGGUGGAUUUCUAAGUUCAAGGCCAGCCUGGUUUACAGAGUGUGUUCUAGGACUCCAAAGAGAAACCCUGUCUUGGGGGGAUAAAACCCUGUCUUGGGGGGAUGUGAUGGUUUGUAUAUGCUCAUCCCAGAGGGUGGCACUAUUAGAAGGUGUGGUCUUCUUGGAGGAAGUGUGUCACUGUGGGGAUGGCUUGCAGACCUUCCUCCUAGAUGCCUGAGCAUGCCCAGUCUGUUCCUGGCUUCCUUUGGAUAAAGAUAUAGAACCUUCUCCUGCCCCAGGCCUGCCUUAAUGCUGUCAUGCUUCUGCCUUGAUGACAAUGGACUGAAUCUCUGAACCUGUAAGCUAGUCCCAAUUAAAUGUUGACAUUUAUAAGA